AACGAACGCUGGCGGCAUGCCUAACACAUGCAAGUCGAACGAGACCUUCGGGUCUAGUGGCGCACGGGUGCGUAACGCGUGGGAACCUGCCUUUAGGUUCGGAAUAACUCAGAGAAAUUUGAGCUAAUACCGGAUGAUGUCUUCGGACCAAAGAUUUAUCGCCUUUAGAUGGGCCCGCGUUGGAUUAGCUAGUUGGUGGGGUAAAGGCCUACCAAGGCGACGAUCCAUAGCUGGUCUGAGAGGAUGAUCAGCCACACUGGGACUGAGACACGGCCCAGACUCCGCGGGGGGGCAGGAGGGGGGAAUAUUGGAAAAGGGGGAAAGGCUUGACCCACCAGUCCCGGGGGAGUGAUGAGGGCUUGGGGUUGUAAAGGCUUUUUACCCCGAGUUGAAAUGAACAGAAUGGGGAAAAAAACCCCCGCCAACCCCGG
rnacentral:rRNA from 1 species